AUUGAACGCUAGCGGCAGGCUUAACACAUGCAAGUCGAGCGAGCGGCGGACGGGUGAGUAAUGUCUGGGAAACUGCCUGAUGGAGGGGGAUAACUACUGGAAACGGUAGCUAAUACCGCAUACCAUCAGAUGUGCCCAGAUGGGAUUAGCUAGUAGGUGGUGUAAUGGGUCACCUAGGCGACGAUCCCUAGCUGGUCUGAGAGGAUGACCGGCCACACGGGAACUGAGACACGGUCCAGACUCCUACGGGAGGCAGAAGUGGGGAAUAUUGCACAAUGGGCGCAAUCCUGAUGCAGCCAUGCCGCGUGUGUGAGGAGGGCCUUCGGGUUGUAAAGCACUUUCGGCAGGGAGGCGUUACUCGCAGAAGAAGCACCGGCUAACUCCGUGCCAGCAGCCGCGGUAAUAC
rnacentral:rRNA from 1 species